rnacentral:lncRNA from 1 species
GAUGAUCAAGAUGAUUUUCUAUGGAACCUAAGAUGAUCUAAAGCACUUACAAGUUAAAGCAAGUAUUUUCAUCCAUUCAAGAGCAUUCUACCAUCAAGAUCAUCAUCUUCUUAGUUCUUAAUCAUCCUCUAGAUCAUCCCUAGCCUAGUGCUAGAAGUAAUUAGUGGACCAUGUCGGAAUUCAUAGUCAAGAUAACAAGUACUGGAACUCCAUGCCAUCUUUUGGAGGGUUUAUCUAUUAUAUUCCGCGAUAUGACUGUUUAAACCUUAGUAGUUUAUUUUCAUUUUGAUGUAUGAGCUAUAACACUUUACUUUUAUGUUAAUGGUUUGUAACCGACACACUAAACUUAUGUUGUAAUGUUUUGAAACACCUAUGUAAUAGCAAUGGAAUCACACCUCGCGCUUCCGCUAUGA